CAGCAGCCGCCACGGUAAUACGUAGGUGGCAAGCGUUGUCCGGAAUUAUUGGGCGUAAAGGGCUCGCAGGCGGUUUCUUAAGUCUGAUGUGAAAGCCCCCGGCUCAACCGGGGAGGGUCAUUGGAAACUGGGAAACUUGAGUGCAGAAGAGGAGAGUGGAAUUCCACGUGUAGCGGUGAUAUGCGUAGAGAUGUGGAGGAACACCAGUGGCGAAGGCGACUCUCUGGUCUGUAACUGACGCUGAGGAGCGAAAGCGUGGGGAGCGAACAGGAUUAGAUACCCGCGUAGUCCCUGUCUCUUAUAC
rnacentral:rRNA from 1 species